rnacentral:rRNA from 1 species
AUGAAAGAACGACGAGCUGGGAAAAAAAUUGCCCAGCUCGGCGAACAAGCGAACCAAUCGUGCCCCCCGCUCAAGGUGUCAAAAGACAUCGUCGCUAAUGAUCCGAGGAUGGUGCCCGGUUAUAGCAAUCUUGGAGAUUACCUGCCCGACGAUGUACAUUAUGAAAUCAUGGAGGUGGACGAACACAAAUACCAUUACGGGAAGCCUCUCGUGAAAGAUGUCAGAUCUCUAAGCACGAUGAUGCGAAGACUACAUGAUUGGUACAUGAAAACCUGUAGAGAGUCUGAUGGGAUGAAUACUUUGACGCUGAGAGUUAAACCGGAGCAUGACCUCUUUGGAAUUGAACUGCUGGAUGUUCCAUUUGAGGAUUUCUUCCAGUUUUACAAUCAAAAGGCCCUCGAUAAGACAACGAUCACUUGCUACUGUCUGUAA